CACGUAGGGCGCAAGCGUUGUCCGGAAUUAUUGGGCGUAAAGAGCUCGUAGGCGGUCUGUUGCGUCCGCUGUGAAAACUCGGGGCUUAACCCCGGGCCUGCAGUGGAUACGGGCAGACUAGAGGUAGGUAGGGGAGAAUGGAAUUCCCGGUGUAGCGGUGAAAUGCGCAGAUAUCGGGAGGAACACCGGUGGCGAAGGCGGUUCUCUGGGCCUUACCUGACGCUGAGGAGCGAAGGCGUGGGGAGCGAACAGGG
rnacentral:rRNA from 1 species